AUGAACAAAAUUCUCUGCAUCUUUUUAAACAUCGGUAACUUGCUUUCAUCAUCAUUCAGAAUCCGCGAUUCCAAUCUCUGCAAAAACUUCAGAACUGCUUCACUUUCUUCACUCAUCAUCAUCAAUCUUUAUCAGAUCUUCAACAGCUUCCAUCAUUGUCAUCACCGAUCCUGCAUCAACAUCAUCACUCAUCUUCACUUUGCAACACCGAUUCUACAAAAAACGCAACAACAUUACAACAACACACACGCAAUAACAAUCACCACUCAGACUCAGAAAACUGAAUCAGAAGAAGAAGGAGCGAAGAUAAUCACACGCAGAGGAGAAGAGAAAGAAUGUAGAAGAUUCAACAUACUUGAGAUGUCGCAACCUGAGCCGUCGUUUUCGCCAUUGGUUAGGUAG